GACGAACGCUGGCGGCGUGCCUAAUACAUGCAAGUUGAGCGCUGAAGGUUGGUACUUGUACCAACUGGAUGAGCAGCGAACGGGUGAGUAACGCGUGGGGAAUCUGCCUUUGAGCGGGGGACAACAUUUGGAAACGAAUGCUAAUACCGCAUAAAAACUUUAAACACAAGUUUUAAGUUUGAAAGAUGCAAUUGCAUCACUCAAAGAUGAUCCCGCGUUGUAUUAGCUAGUUGGUGAGGUAAAGGCUCACCAAGGCGAUGAUACAUAGCCGACCUGAGAGGGUGAUCGGCCACAUUGGGACUGAGACAAGGCCCAAACUCCUACGGGAGGCAGCAGUAGGGAAUCUUCGGCAAUGGACGAAAGUCUGACCGAGCAACGCCGCGUGAGUGAAGAAGGUUUUCGGAUCGUAAAACUCUGUUGGUAGAGAAGAACGAUGGUGAGAGUGGAAAGCUCAUCAAGUGACGGUAACUACACAGAAAGGGACGGCUAACUACGUG
rnacentral:rRNA from 1 species